GGAUGCGAUCAUACCAGCACUAAAGCACCGGAUCCCAUCAAAACUCCGAAGUUAAGCGUGCUUGGGCGAGAGUAGUACUAGGAUGGGUGACCUCUUGGGAAGUCCUGAUGUUGCAUUCC
rnacentral:rRNA from 1 species